rnacentral:rRNA from 1 species
UACGAAGGGGGCUAGCGUUGCUCGGAAUCACUGGGCGUAAAGGGUGCGUAGGCGGGUUUUUAAGUCAGAGGUGAAAUCCUGGAGCUCAACUCCAGAACUGCCUUUGAUACUGAGAAUCUUGAGUACGGGAGAGGUGAGUGGAACUGCGAGUGUAGAGGUGAAAUUCGUAGAUAUUAGGAAGAACACCGGUGGCGAAGGCGGCCCACUGGUCCGGUACUGACGCUGAGGUGCGAAAGCGUGGGGAGCAAACAGG